rnacentral:lncRNA from 1 species
AUGCUGCAGGGCACCUGGCUGACGAACAGUCGCAACCUCUCGCCGUCGCCAUCCUCCGCUUCUCCGGCCAUCACCGCGAUCUCUCUCUCUUCCCCUUUCGUGCAUGGAUCUUACGAAGGUCGGGGAAGGACGGUGAUGAUGGCGUGCCACGACGUCGAGAUGCCGUUCCUGCGGGGGAUUGACAUGAACCGGCCAGCGCUAGUGGCGGAGACGACGACGGCAAGGGGGGGGGGCGCAGCUGCAGCGAGGAGGACGAGGAGCCCGGCGUGACCUCCCCCAA